GUCCACGCCCUAAACGAUGGAUACUAAGUGUCGGCGGGUUACCGCCGGUGCCGCAGCUAACGCAUUAAGUAUCCCGCCUGGGGAGUACGGCCGCAAGGUUGAAACUCAAAGGAAUUGACGGGGGCCCGCACAAGCGGUGGAGCAUGUGGUUCAAUUCGACGCAACGCGAAGAACCUUACCCAGGCUGGACAAGCAGGUAGUAAGAACCUGAAAGGGCAAUGAGGUAGCAAUACCAUCCUGCUCAGGUGCUGCAUGGCUGUCGU
rnacentral:rRNA from 1 species